rnacentral:rRNA from 1 species
AUUUUAUAUAAUUAGUUUAUCUAUUAAUAAAUUUAUGAAUUACUCCGGAGUUAACAGAAAAUCAUAUCUAAUCUAGUUCUUAUAGUAGGAUAAGUUUUACAUCGAUGUUGUAUUUAAGUUUUUUAAGAGGGGAGAAUACUUAAUUUUUGAGACUGUUCUUCUUUUAAUUAAUUUAACG